CACGUAGGGGGCGAGCGUUGCCCGGAUUUAUUGGGCGUAAAGAGCUCGUAGGCUGUUCGGCAAGUCGGGUGUGAAAUUUCGAGGCUCAACCUCGAAACGCCACUCGAUACUGCUGUGACUGGAGUCCGGUAGAGGAGUGCGGAAUUCCUGGUGUAGCGGUGAAAUGCGCAGAUAUCAGGAGGAACACCAACGGCGAAGGCAGCACUCUGGGCCGGUACUGACGCUGAGGAGCGAAAGCGUGGGGAGCAAACAGG
rnacentral:rRNA from 1 species